GGUUGACCUCGGAUCAGGUAGGAAUACCCGCUGAACUUAAGCAUAUCAAUAAGCGGAGGAAAAGAAACCAACAGGGAUUGCCCCAGUAACGGCGAGUGAAGCGGCAACAGCUCAAAUUUGAAAUCUGGCCCUGGGCCCGAAUUGUAAUUUGCAGAGGAUGCUUCUGGCGCGGCGCCUUCCGAGUUCCCUGGAACGGGACGCCAUAGAGGGUGAGAGCCCCGUACGGUUGCGCGCUAAGCCUCUGUGAAGCUCCUUCGACGAGUCGAGUAGUUUGGGAAUGCUGCUCAAAAUGGGAGGUAUACGUCUUCUAAAGCUAAAUACCGGCCAGAGACCGAUAGCGCACAAGUAGAGUGAUCGAAAGAUGAAAAGCACUUUGAAAAGAGGGUUAAAUAGUACGUGAAAUUGUUGAAAGGGAAGCGCUCAUGACCAGACUUGGGCCCGGUUAAUCAUCUAGCGUUCUCGCUGGUGCACUUUGCCGGCCCAGGCCAGCAUCAGUUUGCUUCGGGGGAUAAAGGCUUCGGGAAUGUGGCUCCCUCGGGAGUGUUAUAGACCGUUGUGUAAUACCCUGGGGCAGACUGAGGUACGCGCAUCGCAAGGAUGCUGGCGUAAUGGUCAU
rnacentral:rRNA from 1 species